GUCAUAGAGGAAUGCCAUUGUGAAAACAGACUGACACAAUGUGCCCGGGUUUCCGCGCUCAAGACGUACUUCUUUGAGACGCCAUACGAGACGGUCAUUGAUGUGGGAAGCUGUUCCUGUUCGAAAGGUUCGCCAGGAAAUAGAUGUGGGCAGAUGAGGCUGCACCACAGGAAACCGCUGUCUUCUCAGGAGCCCCUCUGAUUUAGAAGUAUGCCAUCUGUGGGCUGAGAGACCCACUAAAUCCUGUGUCCCUCUGGGCUACAACAGCCACGUAUUCCUCAACCAGCAUGGCCAGAUCUGCACAGUCUUCUCCAGCUCCUCUUGUCUCUGCCAGUCCUGAACCAGUCCUCUACUAGAGAAUACACUGACCACCAUCCCCAGUCCUCUAUAUGAUGUCCUCUACUGGAGAAUACACUGACCACCAUCCCCAGUCCUCUAUAUGAUGUCCUCUACUGGAGAAUACACUGACCACCAUCCCCAAUCCUCUAUAUGAUGUCCUCUACUGGAUAAUACACUGACCACCAUCCCCAGUCCUCUAUAUGAUGUCCUCUACUGGAGAAUACACUGACCACCAUCCCCAAUCCUCUAUAUGAUGUCCUCUACUGGAUAAUACACUGACCACCAUCCCCAGUCCUCUAUAUGAUGUCCUCUACUGGAUAAUACACUGACCACCACCCCCAGUCCUCUGUAUGAUGUCCUCUACUGGAGAAUACACUGACCACCAUCCCCAGUCCUCUGUAUGAUGUCCUCUACUGGAGAAUACACUGACCACCAUCCCCAGUCCUCUAUAUGAUGUCCUCUACUGGAUAAUACACUGACCACCACCCCCAGUCCUCUGUAUGAUGUCCUCUACUGGAUAAUACACUGACCACCAUCCCCUAAGACUGUCUUGCAGAAGUCUGCCACAUCCGGUCCAGAAACAACCCCCGUAAAAAUGUAUUUAUAUGGCUGCAGUUGUAACACUCGUCAUUGAAGGGGGACCAAAACGCAGCGGGUAAAGUGCUCAUCCUCUUAUUUAUUAAAGAAAACACUUAAUCAACACAAAACAAAUGACAAAAACAGUCCAGUAAGGUGCAUAGACUAUACUAGAAACAACCACCCACAAAACCCAAAGGAAAACAGGCUGCCUAAGUAUGGCUUCCAAUCAGAGACAACGAAAGACACCUGCCUCUGAUUGGAAACCACACUCGGCCAAACCUGGAAAA